rnacentral:lncRNA from 1 species
GCAUAUGGAACUCACUUUUUCUAUUCCCCCCAGAUGAGGAAGAAAAUCAGGAACUACAGGCAGACCUACCCUUAGAAGUCUAUGAGGAUCCCGUGAAUCCACAAGUCUGAGUGCAUGUCUGUUCCCGCACUUUGAUGAAUUCCAAUAGUAUAGUGAAAGAAGUGGCCCUUAUGUUUUGUAUUUUGUAGCUAUUUCUAGCCUCAGUGAUCUAUGUAUUUGUAACUAUGUAUAUGUAUCUGUAAGGGAUUUAUUAAGGUCUUGAUUCCACUACAUAAAUAUUAUCAUGUACUCAUUAUCCUGAAUCUAUAUCUGACACUCAAUUAUCUUAAGUGGCACUUGGGAUGUCACACUCUCACUCUAAGCUCU